rnacentral:tRNA from 1 species
UUCCUGGAGGACUAGUGGUUAGGCCACGGCGCUCUCACCGCUGCACCCCGGGUUCGAUUCUCGGCCAGGGAA